rnacentral:rRNA from 1 species
GUGCAGCAGUCGAGAAUUUUUCUCAAUGGGGGCAACCCUGAAGGAGCGACGCCGCGUGGAGGAUGAAGGCUUUCGGGUCGUAAACUCCUGUCAUUUGAGAACAAGUGCCAACACCUAACUACUGUUGGCUUGAUAGUAUCAGAAGAGGAAGGGACGGCUAACUCUGUGCCAGCAGCCGCGGUAAUACAGAGGUCCCAAGCGUUGUUCGGAUUCAUUGGGCGUAAAGGGUGCGUAGGUGGCGCCGUAAGUGGGGUGUGAAAUUCCGGAGCUUAACUCCGAAACUGCAUUCCAUACUGCGGUGCUUGAGGACUGGAGAGGAGACUGGAAUUUACGGUGUAACAGUGAAAUGCGUAGAGAUCGUAAGGAAGACCAGUGGCGAAGGCGGGUCUCUGGACAGUUCCUGACACUGAGGCACGAAGGCCAGGGGAGCGAACGGGAUUAGAUACCCGUGUAGU